rnacentral:rRNA from 1 species
UACGGAGGGGGCUAGCGUUGUUCGGAAUUACUGGGCGUAAAGCGCGCGUAGGCGGACCUGCAAGUCGGGGGUGAAAGCCCGAGGCUCAACCUCGGAACUGCCUUCGAUACUGCGGGUCUCGAGUCCGGGAGAGGUGAGUGGAAUUCCCAGUGUAGCGGUGAAAUGCGUAGAUAUUGGGAGGAACACCAGUGGCGAAGGCGGCUACCUGGACCGGUUCUGACGCUGAGGCGCGAAAGCGUGGGUAGCAAACAGG